AGCGAACGCUGGCGGCAGGCUUAACACAUGCAAGUCGAGCGGACCUUUCGGGGUCAGCGGCGGACGGGUGAGUAACGCGUGGGAACGUGCCUUCCGGUUCGGAAUAACCCUGGGAAACUAGGGCUAAUACCGGAUACGCCCUUAUGGGGAAAGGUUUACUGCCGGAAGAUCGGCCCGCGUCUGAUUAGCUAGUUGGUGGGGUAACGGCCUACCAAGGCGACGAUCAGUAGCUGGUCUGAGAGGAUGAUCAGCCACACUGGGACUGAGACACGGCCCAGACUCCUACGGGAGGCAGCAGUGGGGAAUAUUGGACAAUGGGCGCAAGCAUGAUCCAGCCAUGCCGCGUGAGUGAUGUAGGCCUUAGGGUUGUAAAGCUCUUUUAUCCGGGACGAUAAUGACGGUACCGGAGGAAUAAGCCCCGGCUAACUUCGUG
rnacentral:rRNA from 1 species